rnacentral:rRNA from 1 species
AACGAACGCUGGCGGCAGGCCUAACACAUGCAAGUCGAACGAAGUCUUCGGACUUAGUGGCGCACGGGUGAGUAACACGUGGGAAUAUACCUUACGCUGGGGGAUAACAUCGGGAAACUGAUGCUAAUACCGCACACGCCCUUCGGGGGAAAGAUUUAUCGGCGAAAGAUUAGCCCGCGUCCGAUUAGCUAGUUGGUGAGGUAAUGGCUCACCAAGGCUCCGAUCGGUAGCUGGUCUGAGAGGAUGACCAGCCACACUGGGACUGAGACACGGCCCAGACUCCUACGGGAGGCAGCAGUGGGGAAUAUUGGACAAUGGGCGCAAGCCUGAUCCAGCCAUGCCGCGUGAGUGAUGAAGGCCUUAGGGUUGUAAAGCUCUUUCACCCACGACGAUGAUGACGGUAGUGGGAGAAGAAGCCCCGGCUAACUUCGUGCCAGCCGCCGCAGUAACAC